GUCGGCACAUAACAUCAUCCAAGCAUCGGCGUCAUAUUACAGGAUGUGCAAGGGACGUGUGCAUGAAGAGCACAGAGAUCCCAGCAGAAACCACUGACUACCAGGGACUGAGGAUCCACUCUAGCCCUCCCAGAGCAAGGUAGGGAGGCUGGGUGGACCUCUUAAUUAUUAAAUGUGUGCAUGUAUGUGAUGUUUGCGUGUGUAAACAAAGAUUGACGUUAAGAGGUGUCAGCUAGCCCACGAACAAGAAAUCUGGGUGGCUAAUGUGAAUUAUAUGCAAAUUUGUUGACUGAUGCCAAUGUGCACUGCAUGCUGGCAUCAGGCAGCCAAUGGCAGCACAUUAUCCCAUCCCCUAGUGAAAAGUUUUAGUGCCCCCCCAGUUUGGAUUGUGGUAUCUUAUGUGCCCACCCCCUAUAUAUUGUUCCUAUGUGUCUAUGUAUCUGCAUGUGUGUCAAUGUGUAUUUAGGUGUGUGUAUGUGUAUAUGUGCAUACAUCUCAGAAUCUCGCCAACACCACACACAAAUACACCCCUGCAUUUCAAUGUCAACACUACAUACAAACUCCACCAUUAUAUAUAACCACCCCACUGCCUUCAAACACCACACUACAUAAAAAUGCAUGCCUGCAUUCAAACGCCAACACCACAUACAGACACACAUCCUACAUUCACUCAAACAUACUCCAUACAAAAACAUGCUUACAUUUAAAAGCAUAAACACUGCUUAGUGCUAAAUACAUUUUUUUUUUUUUAAAUUGUGGUUGUUUUUUACAUUUUAAAGUUGGGGUUUGGAGGGGGGGGCAAAAAUAGGACCGCCCCAGGUAAUGCUCUAGGUACGCCCCUGAUUAGGACAUAGGGGGUUAUAGUGUUAACAGUGUGUCUUGAAAGCAAACCUGUGGCUUGGGGGGCAUUCCCUUAAUGAAAUGAAGGCAAUCAUUUCUCAUGAAGAGCCAAGGCUAUGCUUGAAUAAAAUCCUCCCUUUAGUGCUGGGCAUGUAAAUACAGUCACAAUUCACAUAAAUUGUAGUUUUUUUUAAAUGCACAGCAAUAAAGGGAGGAUUUUUUUUCAAUAGCGAUGGCUAUUCAGGAAAAAUUAUUGCCUGAUGAUUUUGCAUGCGCUGGUGCGGAAAAAGCCAUCCCAAUCAGUUCUGAAGCAUUGUAUGGGACUCAAGCAUUAUGUUACAAUGUCGCAAUAGCAAUAUUGUGUCCAUCACCAUCUUUGGAAGAUAUGAGUAAGUGGCGUCUAUGGGUACAGACCGAGGCUUCCUAUUCUUUAAAGGGGAAAUCUAACAUAGGAAACGUGUGUUUCUAACAAUAGCAUUUCAUCAUGCCAGUUUUAGAAUUACAGGUCUUACUGGAAGAGUACGAUAAAGAGGUUUUGCUUUCAGUGCCAUACUGAGCCAGUUUCACCAUGUCCACCACUUCGCCCCAGGCUGAGGUCAUCAUUACUGAUCAUCUCGGCCAAUCCAAUGUUUCUUCGUAAAGAAGCAUUAGGGAUCCCACUGUCCAUGUGCACGAAUUGCAGGAACCACCUCUAGUGGCUGUUUGAUUGACAGCCACUAGAGGCAUCCUUAGGGACACAUGUAUACACUGACAGUAUUCACUAAUUAGAGACUGCGGAAGAGGCUAUUUACACCAAAAUCACUACAUUAAGCUGUAGUGGUUCUGGUGCUUAGAGUGUCGUUGUAAGUGUAGUACUCUGAAUUUAGCAGCCAGGUAGGAAAAAUAAGAGUGAAAUCUACUCAAUAACAGUUUAUUUCUUCAUCCUGGCAUGUUAAGACCUGCAUCACCAUUCAAGCAUAAGAUAUAAAGGAGAGGUUUAUGAAAGAUGCAUCAAGACUAGCCAUGGAUCUUAUUGCAUGUGUGCUGAGAGAUGCAGCUGAGAGACCAAGAGUCACAAGGCAGCUAGAAACACACUUAUAUUCUGCUUUUAUCUUUAUCCGAAAAAAUAAAAAAUAAUUGUAUUGUUUAGGGAAUCUUCUGCAAAAAUGUCUUUAUGUGUUGUGAUAUAUUCUGAUGGAAUCUUUGUAAAGCAAAAUACCAUCUUGUUUGUUUAUGACUCUGGGGGCUGUUUCAAGAAAGACAAAAUGGUACAGGUGGAACUAUGCUUCAUUCCAUUUCAUUUCAGGAGUAGUUGGCAAUGAUUGGCAUCAGCCAGUCACUGUCUCAAUCCUUGUAAUGAACUGGUAUGACUGAAGGCAUAAGCACACUUGUAAGAAAUGACUUUCUUAGCACAUAAUCUUUGAUCUUUAAUUUUUCAGAUAUAAGUGAUAUGCUUCUCCAGGACCCAAGAAACAACUCUCUAAGAUGGUGGCUGGGCUGGAUUAGGACUGCUCAUCCUUUGAGGAGCCCUCUUGUGAUGCCAUCAAUGACUUCCCUCUCUUUGGGUUAGAAUGGCAAGACUCCAGCAACCAAGAACGACAUUAAAGCCCUCUUAAAAGACAUCUGCUCUCUGUUUUUUGUUAAGCUUGAGAAAGACCGUGCAGGUUGAAACGUUGUGAGUGGCAGUGGGUUCAAUAAAUUUGCCUUUUUGUA
rnacentral:lncRNA from 1 species